AAGCGGAGGAGCAUGUGGUUUAAUUUCGAUGAUACGCGAGGAACCUUACCUGGGCUUAAAUGCUUAAUGACGUACUGGGAAACUGGUAUUUCUUCGGACAUUUUGCAAGGUGCUGCAUGGUUGUCGUCAGCUCGUGCCGUGAGGUGUCGGGUUAAGUCCCAUAACGAGCGCAACCCCUAUUGUUAGUUGCCAUCAGGUCAUGCUGGGGACUCUAACAAAACUGCCCGCGUAAGCGUGGAGGAAGGUGGGGAUGACGUCAAAUCAGCACGGCCCUUACGUCCAGGGCUACACACGUGCUACAAUGGCCGGUACAGAGGGCAGCCACUUGGUGACAAGGAGCAAAUCUCAAAAGCCGGUCUCAGUUCGGAUCGGAGUCUGCAACUCGACUCCGUGAAGUUGGAUUCGCUAGUAAUCGUAGAUCAGCAAUGCUACGGUGAAUACGUUCCCGGGCCUU
rnacentral:rRNA from 1 species